CCUACGGGGUGCAGCAGUGGGGAAUAUUGGACAAUGGGCGAAAGCCUGAUCCAGCCAUGCCGCGUGUGUGAAGAAGGCCUUCGGGUUGUAAAGCACUUUCAGUGGGGAAGAAAGCCUUGGGGCUAAUACCCUCGAGGAAGGACAUCACCCACAGAAGAAGCACCGGCUAACUCCGUGCCAGCAGCCGCGGUAAUACGGAGGGUGCGAGCGUUAAUCGGAAUUACUGGGCGUAAAGCGCGCGUAGGCGGUCUGAUAAGCCGGUUGUGAAAGCCCCGGGCUCAACCUGGGAACGGCAUCCGGAACUGUCAGGCUAGAGUGCAGGAGAGGAAGGUAGAAUUCCCGGUGUAGCGGUGAAAUGCGUAGAGAUCGGGAGGAAUACCAGUGGCGAAGGCGGUCUUCUGGACUGACACUGACGCUGAGGUGCGAAAGCGUGGGUAGCAAACAGGAUUAGAUACCCGUGUAGUC
rnacentral:rRNA from 1 species